rnacentral:rRNA from 1 species
UACGUAGGCAGCAAGCGUUGUUCGGAAUUACUGGGCGUAAAGAGUGUGUAGGCGGUGUUCUAAGUUUGUCGUGAAAUCUCCCGGCUUAACUGGGAGGGUGCGGCGAAAACUGGAAUGCUAGAGGAUGGGAGAGGUAAGCGGAAUUCCUGGUGUAGCGGUGAAAUGCGUAGAUAUCAGGAGGAACACCGGUGGCGAAGGCGGGUCUCUGGGCCGAUACUGACGCUGAGGAGCGAAAGCGUGGGGAGCGAACAGG